rnacentral:rRNA from 1 species
AUUGAACGCUGGCGGAAUGCUUUACACAUGCAAGUCGAGCGGCAGCGCGGCCUUCGGGCUGGCGGCGAGCGGCGAACGGGUGAGUAAUGCAUCGGAACAUGCCCAGUCGUGGGGGAUAACACUUCGAAAGAAGUGCUAAUACCGCAUACGUCCUGAGGGGGAAAGCGGGGGAUCGCAAGACCUCGCGCGAUUGGAGUGGCCGAUGUCAGAUUAGCUAGUUGGUGGGGUAAAGGCCUACCAAGGCGACGAUCUGUAGCUGGUCUGGGAGGAUGAUCAGCCACACGGGGACUGAGACACGCCCCAGACUCCUACGGGAGGCAGCAGUGGGGAAUUUUGGACAAUGGGGACAACCCUGAUCCAGCCAUUCCGCGUGAGUGAAGAAGGCCUUCGGGUGGUAAAGCGCUUUCGGCAGGAACGAAACGGUGGGCUCUAACAGAGGCCGCUAAUGACGUUACCGGAAGAAGAAGCACCGGCUAACUACGU